ensembl:lncRNA
UGUGUGUGUGUGUGUGUGUGUGUGGUCAGGUGUGUGUGUGUGUGUGUGUGUGGUCAGGUGUGUGUGUGUGUGUGGGGUCAGGUGUGUGUGUGUGUGUGUGUGUGGGGUCAGGUGUGUGUGUGUGUGUGUGUGAGGAGACGUGGGAAGACGAUUGGACCACAUUAGAUGCUGUAUUAAAAAUGUACAAACAUUUGAUCGGCAGACGUAAAUGACAAGUGUAUUAGAGAUGCAGAGCUGCAAGAUGACUGUGGGGGUUGGGCUUAGAUACAUACCUUACACCUGAUUGGCUGGCCCAAAAACCUUCCUCAAGCUGGCCCAACCAAUUACAAGGACUUUAAUAUUAUAAAUUGGGUUGUCUGUGUCCUGGAUGCUGAUCGGUUGAAACAGUAUUCCAGAAGUGUUUUAAAAAUACAAAUGUAUGACUCUCAAAGGCUGGUUUAUAAUAUCAGUAAGGCAAGUCAGAGUGGAAAUAUUACUUGAGUACACCAAUGCCAAGGUCUGUAUCCAUUCACAUCCUGCUGAAGAACCUCUGUUACCUGUAGGAUGGCUGGAUUCCACACCCUCAUGCCUUUCUGCUUUACAAAACCAUCCGUCCAGGGUUCUUCUGAGUGGCUGCCGUGGGUUAUGGCCGUUCUGCACAGUAAUACAGGCUGAUAUUGUCCAUAUUGACACAUGCACCAAUGAGGGGAAUGGCUGAUGUGUGGCCUGAUUGAACCGUAUUGUGGGGUUGAUGUGGUGGAGAUUAGUUGUUUCAUGCUUAAAGACUGGUGAUUGGUCAGAUAUUCACAUAACACAGGGAAUUGCCGAAGUGGUAGAAAAGUCUGCAGUGUUUCUGGAAGGACGGACUAAGACUCUAAUAAAGUGGAUCUUCUCAGAUGACCACAAAUAUCAUUCCCUGUGUGGAGCUACCGUAUCUGUUUUUCUUGUGAACGCUGGGAAAUGUAUUCCCCAAUAUAAGAAUCGAUCAUAUCGGCUUUGUUUUAUCCUAAAUAAGAUUGAAAUGUGUCGACAUGAGUGAUGUAGAAUUGCACAGUCAGGGUAUAUUAAGGAUUUAGCCCUGAGCCCCCUGAUCACAACACUACUCUGGUCACAGGGAACCUGGAUAUUAUUGACUGUUAAGAUAUUGACUAUUGUUUCUAUUAUUGGUAUUAUUGGUUGUUAUUGCUGGUGAUCUAUUUAUUCAAAAUGCUGUAUCUGAUUCUUCUGUCCUGGUAUCAGAAAAUCUUUAUUCAACCCUGUCAUUACUAUAUUAUAACACUACUGUAAUUAUUCUAUAAAACUGCUCAUGUAGGAAGAUGUUUUAUACUGUUUGGUUUAUUUCUGUACUGUGCAGUCACAUCCAUUUCUACUUCACUGGAGAAUGAUCUCUCGUUCCUAUAAACUUUUGUUCAUUUGAUAACUCAUAAAGCUGUUCCACACUGAAUUAUUAUUAUUAUUAUUAUUAUAUGGGAACUAAACUGGAUGUCUCAUGGUUACCAAACUGGAUGUCUCAUGGUUACCAAACUGGAUGUCUCAUGGUUACCAAGGCAGGUUAUUGACUGGGAUGACUUGUUUUUAUCAGUGUGGGUAUUAUUGUGCAUUUGGCGGGGUGCAGUUGCUUUACAUACAGACCAGAAUGUUUACCAAUCACAGAUGCUUUUUAUUCAACAAUGCCUUAUAUCUCACUUAAAUGAUUAUGUUUGUCAAAGGAUGAAACAGGCUCUCUGAAACAUCAUGGGAGGAAAGGUUCUGUUUGAACAGUCAUUAAAGGAACAUAAUUAAACUGCUUUGAAGUUUUCA